rnacentral:rRNA from 1 species
UACGAAGGGGACUAGCGUUGUUCGGAAUUACUGGGCGUAAAGCGCACGUAGGCGGAUUUGUAAGUCAGGGGUGAAAUCCCGGGGCUCAACCUCGGAACUGCCUUUGAUACUGCAAAUCUCGAGUCCGAUAGAGGUGGGUGGAAUUCCUAGUGUAGAGGUGAAAUUCGUAGAUAUUAGGAAGAACACCGGUGGCGAAGGCGGCCCACUGGUCCGGUACUG